GACGAACCGAGCGAACGUUGUUCGGAAUCACUGGGCUUAAAGGGCGCGUAGGCGGGCGGCCGCGUCCGGGGUGAAAUCCCACGGCUCAACCGUGGAACGGCCUCGGAUACGGGCGGCCUGGGAGGCGGGUAGGGGCAGGCGGAACUGUGGGUGGAGCGGUGAAAUGCGUUGAGAUCCACAGGAACUCCGGUGGCGAAGGCGGCCUGCUGGACCCGAACUGACGCUGAGGCGACGAAAGCCAGGGGAGCGAACGGG
rnacentral:rRNA from 1 species